rnacentral:rRNA from 1 species
UCAGCUUUAUUAUGAAAAUUGAUAAAACUUUCAACAACGGAUCUCUUGGCUCUGGCAUCGAUGAAGAACGCAGCGAAAUGCGAUAAGUAAUGUGAAUUGCAGAAUUUAGUGAAUCAUCGAAUCUUUGAACGCACAUUGCGCCCCUUGGUAUUCC